GACGAACGCUGGCGGCGUGCUUAACACAUGCAAGUCGAACGGAAAGGCCCUGCUUUUGUGGGGUGCUCGAGUGGCGAACGGGCGGGUAACACGUGAGUAACCUGCCCUUGACUUUGGGAUGACUUCCGGAAACUGGGGCUAAUACCGGAUAGGAGCUCCUGCUGCAUGGUGGGGGUUGGAAAGUUUCGGCGGUUGGGGAUGGACUCGCGGCUUAUCAGCUUGUUGGGGGGGUAGUGGUUUACCAAGGCUUUGACGGGUAGCCGGCCUGGGAGGGUGACCGGCCACCUUGGGCCUGCGAUACGGCCCAGACUCCUACGGGAGGCAGCAGGGGGGAAUAUUGCACAAUGGGCGGAAGCCUGAUGCAGCAACGCCGCGUGCGGGAUGACGGCCUUCGGGUUGUAAACCGCUUUCGCCUGUGACGAAGCGUGAGUGACGGUAAUGGGUAAAGAAGCACCGGCUAACUACGUG
rnacentral:rRNA from 1 species